GUUUUCAAUUGUUUAUUAUCCAUGAAAACUCCUCGACGGCUGCAACUGUUGUUUGCCUAGAUGAAUGAUAUCGUCAAAAAUCGGACCGGCUAUAGCCAGUCAUUUGCAGCAACAAGUUAAAAUGAUAAAACAAGUCUGGUGUGUGUGUAUUUAUGCACGGACGUAAGAAGUUAUAUUUCUUUUGCGAAACACAAAACAUUCUUUUUCGCAGCUUAUAUACAACACCUUAUUCUUUUUAUCUGGGCUGGGAUUAGUUCUAAAUGUUAACUAAGCUAAGUCUUGAUGUCAAUGGCACACGGUACUCCUAAAAAAUUCGGUUCACCCAUCCAAGUACUAACCGUGUCCAGAGUUGCUUGACUUACAAUUAGUGAUCGCGAGGAAACUAAUGCUGUCAAAGCUGCACGGCCGUUGAUUAGAAUCGAACGUGAAUAAUCGGCGCGAGAAGCACAGACGACUAUACUACUUACGUUAUAGCGUACCACGUGAUGAAUAUUCAUUUUUUUUUCUCACAAUUUUUAUGACUUUUUGAAGCUGAAUAAAAAUAAUGCAUUACUGUUUUCUUAUAUAACACAAUAAAAAUGAAUUAAAAUUAUGUCUA